rfam:Capsaspora owczarzaki ATCC 30864 unplaced genomic scaffold supercont2.2, whole genome shotgun sequence.
CCCGGUGUCGUCCAGCGGUGAGGACGCUUGACUUUGAAUCAAGAGACCCCGGUUCGAUCCCGGGCACUGGGU